UACAGAGGUCUCAAGCGUUGUUCGGAUUCAUUGGGCGUAAAGGGUGUGUAGGUGGCGCCGUAAGUCGGGUGUGAAAUUUCGGAGCUUAACUCCGAAACUGCAUUCGAUACUGCGGUGCUUGAGGACUGGAGAGGAGACUGGAAUUCAUGGUGUAGCAGUGAAAUGCGUAGAGAUCAUGAGGAAGACCAGUGGCGAAGGCGGCUACCUGGACCAGCACUGACACUGAGGCACGAAAGCGUGGGGAGCAAACAGG
rnacentral:rRNA from 1 species